UUUGAACGAAACUAUUACACGGGAAAAAAUCUGAUCCCAUUAUCAUGAUUUACGAAUCAUGAAAAUUAUAAAUUGCUCUUGGGACGAAAUCAUGAUUCAGACUCAUGAUUUUUGAAGCUGAGCUACCAAUAUCAUAAUUCAGAGCAACCAUUUUCAUGAGCUCCAAAUCAUGACCAUGAAAAGCGUUACGCACACGGUGCACCUGUCAAAACGUGUUUAGCAAAGCUUGUGCAAAGCAUAGUUGGCUGCGCAUUCACGGAAAAGUUGCCCUUUUUAAAAAAAAAAGUUCACUUUUAUUGCCGGUUUCCUGCGCCGCUGUUGCUCUACUGUCGUUCCUGCUCUACUAUUCCGUUCCUGCUCCGUUGAUAUCGAGCUAUUCCGGCUCUGCAGAACUACCGCCGUUUCAUUCUGUUCCUUUCCUGCCGUGGCUGUUGCCCGUUCCGGCUCCUGUGUACCCGUUCCGGUUCCGCAUUGAGGGAAAAUUCUUCCGGCUCCGCUCUACUAACUACCGCCGUUUUAUUGUCCCAGUGCCACUGUCGCCAUUCCCGCCGCGGCUGUUGCCGUCCAAUAGGUGCAUCCGUUCCGGCUCCGCAUUGAGUGACCAGCUCCGCCCUACCAACUACCGCUCCCGAUUUUGUUGCCGUUCCGGACGUUUCGUUUUCAGCCUUGGCUGGUUCCGCCCAGUAGGUGUUCCCGUUCCGACUUCCCCCACAACUACCGAACGCAGGUGAUAUAGAAGGGAGGAUCGAGCGGCGACUGAACCAUCUCCGCGAAAAAUUUGGGGAACCAUCGCUACAACCUCAAAUUGUCGCAGUGGGCACGAGCAACUCAACAAAAGCAACGAAGGUUAUUUUUGGCGGCGCGGAGUAUAUCGCAGAUAAUAUUGUGCAUGCUGUAUGCAUUUGUAUGCAUAUCACUUAUGUGCUAAAUUUGCGAUAUACUCCGGACUGCAAACCGCUGUGGCUCUUUGUUCAGUCAUACCUGUUCAAAAUCCCGGCGUCCAUUAUUGAGCUCCCGAAGAGCACACGUGAUUUGCUAAAAGGUAUAGAUAAUUAAACUGGAAGAUCGUUUUUUUUUCUUAAAAUAAUCUUUUUUCAAGUGAAAAGAAUAGAAUAAAUGAAUUAAACUCAAAA